GGGCCCGCACAAGCGGUGGAGCAUGUGGUUUAAUUCGAUGAUACGCGAGGAACCUUACCAGGGCUUAAAUGUAGGAUGCAUUAGCUAGAGAUAGCUAUUUCUUCGGACUUCUUACAAGGUGCUGCAUGGUUGUCGUCAGCUCGUGCCGUGAGGUGUCAGGUUAAGUCCUAUAACGAGCGCAACCCCUGUCGUUAGUUGCCAGCAUGUAAAGAUGGGGACUCUAACGAGACUGCCGGUGUAAACCGCGAGGAAGGUGGGGAUGACGUCAAAUCAUCACGGCCCUUACGUCCUGGCUACACACGUGCUACAAUGGCAGUGACAGAGGGCAGCUACAUGGCAACAUGAUGCG
rnacentral:rRNA from 1 species